rnacentral:lncRNA from 1 species
UCAGCCUCUCCAACGAACUUCCAAAACUCCACCGGUAUCUCGUCCGGCCCCAUCACCCUACCCCUUCGCAUCCUGCGAGCAUCCUCUCUAACCUCUUCUACCUUAAAACGUCUACAAUAGCUAAAAUCCCGACACUCCUCUGAGUGCUCCAGUUCCCCUAACACAAUAGCUCUAUCCCCUUCGUUAUUCAAGAGCCUAUGAAAGUACGACUGCCAUCUAUUCUUAAUGUGGCCGUCCUCCACCAACACUCUACCGUCCUCCCCCUUAAUGCACCUCACCUGAUCGAGGUCACGACCCUUCCUCUCCCUAGCCUUAGCGAGUCUAAACAACUUUUUCUCCC